rnacentral:rRNA from 1 species
AACUGCAGCAGAAACUGCUAGGCUUGAGUACAGUUGAAGUAGAGGGAAUUUCCAGUGAAGCGGUGAAAUGCGUAGAUAUUGGAAGGAACACCAAUGGCGAAAGCACUCUACUAGACUUUUACUGACACUCAGAGACGAAAGCUAGGGUAGCAAAUGGGAUUAGAUACCCCAGUAGUCCUAGCCGUAAACGAUGGAUACUAAACAUUGCGUGCAUCGAUCCGCGUGGUGUUAUAGCUAACGCGUUAAGUAUCCCGCCUGGGGAGUAUGCUCGCAAGGGUGAAACUCAAAGGAAUUGACGGGGGCCCGCACAAGCGGUGGAGCAUGUGGUUUAAUUUGAUGCAACGCGAAGAACCUUACCAGGGUUUGACAUGGUGUUAAUUCUUUGAAAAAAGAAGUACCGUUCGCGGUAGACACACACAGGUGGUGCAUGACUGUCGUCAGCUCGUGUCGUGAGAUGUUGGGUUAAGUCCCGCAACGAGCGCAACCCUUGUUUUUAGUUACAAGUAAUCUAAAAAGACUAUCGGUUAUAAACCGGAGGAAGGUGGGGACGACGUCAAGUCAGCAUGCCCCUUAUACCCUGGGCUACACACGUGCUACAUUGGGUAGGACAAUGAGACGCCAAACCGUGAGGUCGAGCUAAUCUACAAACCUACUCUAAGUUCGGAUUGGAGGCUGCAACUCGCCU